UUCAAGAGUAUGAAAGAGCGGUGAUAUUUCGUCUAGGAAGACUUCGCAAAGGUGGAGCAAAGGGGCCUGGAAUAUUUUUUGUUAUCGCCUGCAUUGACACUUACAGAAAAGUUGAUUUGAGAACAGUAUCCUUUGAUGUUCCACCUCAGGAG